AGAGUUUGAUCCUGGCUCAGGAUGAACGCUGGCGGCGUGCCUAAUACAUGCAAGUCGAACGCUUCACUUCGGUGAAGAGUGGCGAACGGGUGAGUAAUACAUAAGUAACCUGGCAUCUACAGGGGGAUAACUGAUGGAAACGUCAGCUAAGACCGCAUAGGUGUAGAGAUCGCAUGAACUCUAUAUGAAAAGUGCUACGGGACUGGUAGAUGAUGGACUUAUGGCGCAUUAGCUGGUUGGUAGGGUAACGGCCUACCAAGGCGACGAUGCGUAGCCGACCUGAGAGGGUGACCGGCCACACUGGGACUGAGACACGGCCCAGACUCCUACGGGAGGCAGCAGUAGGGAAUUUUCGGCAAUGGGGGAAACCCUGACCGAGCAACGCCGCGUGAAGGAAGAAGUAAUUCGUUAUGUAAACUUCUGUCAUAGAGGAAGAACGGUGGAUAUAGGGAAUGAUAUCCAAGUGACGGUACUCUAUAAGAAAGCCACGGCUAACUACGUGCCAGCAGCCGCGGUAAUACGUAGGUGGCGAGCGUUAUCCGGAAUUAUUGGGCGUAAAGAGGGAGCAGGCGGCACUAAGGGUCUGUGGUGAAAGAUCGAAGCUUAACUUCGGUAAGCCAUGGAAACCGUAGAGCUAGAGUGUGUGAGAGGAUCGUGGAAUUCCAUGUGUAGCGGUGAAAUGCGUAGAUAUAUGGAGGAACACCAGUGGCGAAGGCGACGAUCUGGCGCAUAACUGACGCUCAGUCCCGAAAGCGUGGGGAGCAAAUAGGAUUAGAUACCCUAGUAGUCCACGCCGUAAACGAUGAGUACUAAGUGUUGGGAGUCAAAUCUCAGUGCUGCAGUUAACGCAAUAAGUACUCCGCCUGAGUAGUACGUUCGCAAGAAUGAAACUCAAAGGAAUUGACGGGGGCCCGCACAAGCGGUGGAGCAUGUGGUUUAAUUCGAAGCAACGCGAAGAACCUUACCAAGUCUUGACAUCCUUCUGACCGGUACUUAACCGUACCUUCUCUUCGGAGCAGGAGUGACAGGUGGUGCAUGGUUGUCGUCAGCUCGUGUCGUGAGAUGUUGGGUUAAGUC
rnacentral:rRNA from 1 species